rnacentral:rRNA from 1 species
CGGUUACACCUAUAAUGCAAUAAAAAAUGUUCGGUAGGCAAUUAAUAAUUAUUUUUGAAUUAAUUUUUAUUUUUAUUGAGUGAAAUUUUUAAAGUUGAAAUAAAUUUACAUAAAGUUUAUGAGGUUGGUAAGUUUAGGUUUUAAACUAGGAUUAGAUACCCUAUUAUUCUAAAUCAAAUUUUGUUCUCUUGGUUAGUAGUAGUUAUGAUCUUGAAAAUUAAAGAAGAUGGCGGUAUCUUAGUCUAUUCAGAGGAACCUGUCCUAUAAUUGAUGGUCCACGAUUUUUUUUACUUAUUUUCAUAGUUUGCAUAUCGCCGUAGGUUGAAUAUUUUUACAAAAAUGAAAUGUUCAAUAGGUUUUUUAAGAAAAGAAUUCAGGUCAAGGUGUAGCCUAUAGAUAAGAAGAGAUGGGUUACAAUAAAUUUAUUUAUGCGGAUUAAUAAAUGAAAUUUUGUUAUAAAGAUGGAUUUGAGAGUAAUUUUAUUUAUAUUUAUAAAAUGAUUUAAGCUCUAGGAUAUGUACAUAUCGCCCGUCGC